rnacentral:pre_miRNA from 1 species
UUAACUCAAAUUUGUAUGGAGUUGGAACGUUUGCCUACGUUUGCCGCUAGGGGCGCUGUUCCAACUGCAUACUAAUUUGCGUUA